AUUGAACGCUGGCGGCAGGCCUAACACAUGCAAGUCGAACGGCAGCACAGAAAAACCUUGUUCUUUCCUGUGGCGUGUGGCGGGCGGGUGUGGUAUACAGCGGACUGUCUGUUUUCGUGGGGUAUCUCGUGGGAACACUUACGCUUAUACCGUAUCCUCCCUACACCUGAGAGCAGGGCCUUCUCGGCCCUUGCCCUCUUGAAUGCGCAGAUGGGAUUAGCUAGUAGGUGGGGUAAAGGCUCACCUAGGCGACGAUCCCUAGCUGGUCUGAGAGGAUGAUCAGCCACACUGGAACUGAGACACGGUCCAGACUCCUACGGGAGGCAGCAGUGGGGAAUAUUGGACAAUGGGCGCAAGCCUGAUGCAGCCAUACCGCGUGGAUGAAGAAGGCCUUCGGGUUGUAAAGCACUUUUGUUGGGAAAGAAAAGAAGAAAGUUAAUACCCCGGUGUACUGACGGUACCCAAAGAAGAAGCACCGGCUAACUUCGUG
rnacentral:rRNA from 1 species